GACGAACGCUGGCGGCGUGCUUAAUACAUGCAAGUCGAACGGAAAGGCCCUGCUUUUGUGGGGUGCUCGAGUGGCGAACGGGUGAGUAACACGUGAGUAACCUGCCCUUGACUUUGGGAUAACUUCAGGAAACUGGGGCUAAUACCGGAUAGGAGCUCCUGCUGCAUGGUGGGGGUUGGAAAGUUUCGGCGGUUGGGGAUGGACUCGCGGCUUAUCAGCUUGUUGGUGGGGUAGUGGCUUACCAAGGCUUUGACGGGUAGCCGGCCUGAGAGGGUGACCGGCCACAUUGGGACUGAGAUACGGCCCAGACUCCUACGGGAGGCAGCAGUGGGGAAUAUUGCACAAUGGGCGGAAGCCUGAUGCAGCAACGCCGCGUGCGGGAUGACGGCCUUCGGGUUGUAAACCGCUUUCGCCUGUGACGAAGCGUGAGUGACGGUAAUGGGUAAAGAAGCACCGGCUAACUACGUGCCAGCAGCCGCGGUGAUACGUAGGGUGCGAGCGUUGUCCGGAUUUAUUGGGCGUAAAGGGCUCGUAGGUGAUUGAUCGCGUCGGAAGUGUAAUCUUGGGGCUUAACCCUGAGCGUGCUUUCGAUACGGGUUGACUUGAGGAAGAUAGGGGAGAAUGGAAUUCCUGGUGGAGCGGUGGAAUGCGCAGAUAUCAGGAGGAACACCAGUGGCGAAGGCGGUUCUCUGGGCCUUUCCUGACGCUGAGGAGCGAAAGCGUGGGGAGCGAACAGGCUUAGAUACCCUGGUAGUCCACGCUGUAAACGGUGGGUACUAGGUGUGGGGUCCAUUCCACGGGUUCCGUGCCGUAGCUAACGCUUUAAGUACCCCGCCUGGGGAGUACGGCCGCAAGGCUAAAACUCAAAGGAAUUGACGGGGCCCCGCACAAGCGGCGGAGCAUGCGGAUUAAUUCGAUGCAACGCGUAGAACCUUACCUGGGUUUGACAUGGAUCGGGAGUGCUCAGAGAUGGGUGUGCCUCUUUUGGGGUCGGUUCACAGGUGGUGCAUGGCUGUCGUCAGCUCGUGUCGUGAGAUGUUGGGUUAAGUCCCGCAACGAGCGCAACCCUUGUUCACUGUUGCCAGCACGUUAUGGUGGGGACUCAGUGGAGACCGCCGGGGUCAACUCGGAGGAAGGUGGGGAUGACGUCAAGUCAUCAUGCCCCUUAUGUCCAGGGCUUCACGCAUGCUACAAUGGCUGGUACAGAGAGUGGCGAGCCUGUGAGGGUGAGCGAAUCUCGGAAAGCCGGUCCCAGUUCGGAUUGGGGUCUGCAACUCGACCCCAUGAAGUCGGAGUCGCUAGUAAUCGCAGAUCAGCAACGCUGCGGUGAAUACGUUCCCGGG
rnacentral:rRNA from 1 species